rnacentral:rRNA from 1 species
UACAGAGGUGGCAAGCGUUGUUCGGAAUUACUGGGCGUAAAGGGCGCGUAGGCGGCUUUUUAAGUCAGACGUGAAAUCCCCCGGCUUAACCUGGGAACUGCGUCUGAUACUGGGAAGCUUGAGUUCGGGAGAGGGAUGUAGAAUUCCAGGUGUAGCGGUGAAAUGCGUAGAUAUCUGGAGGAACACCAGCGGCGAAGGCGGCAUCCUGGACUGGUCCUGACACUCAUGAGCGAAAGCGUGGGGAGCGAUCCGG